rnacentral:tRNA from 1 species
AUCCUAGAUAGCUCAGCUGGUUAGAGUGUUGUGCUGAUAACACCAAGGUUGCAGGUUCGAUCCCUGUAUGGGACA